ensembl:lncRNA
ACAGAGGGACAUGAGGGCUUCCUUCGUGGCUCAGCGGUAAAGAGUCCACCUGCAGUGUAGGAGACGCAGAGCACCACAUCUCAGGGUCUACGGAACAAAGGACAAGAAAGCUGCGGAUGACAGAAGUAGUGGUUGAGUGAGGUGACUCUGUCCCUCUAGGAUGUAGCUGUGUCACUCCUCACGAAUGGAUGGGCCACAAGUUCACAGUCUUACCUGACAGCACCUAAAAACCAUCACCAGGGCAAUCUCUGGGAACCAUGCGUCUUUUUCAGCUUCUUACAACAGCUCUUGUCAGGUCCAGCCUUGGCAUCCUCCACCUCCUGCUUGUCUGCUCUGGAGACUUGUGAUGAGAACACAGCCCUGGAAGGGCCUCUCCGUUUUCCUGCGUCCCUCCCUCUCUCGCUCCCGGAGCCCAGCUGUGCGCCCUGGGCCUCGCCUGCUCCCCUUUCUCCUUCUCUUCCUCUGCCUCAGGCAGGAGAGGUCUGUGCCUCCCUGGGCUUCCAAGACUCGGGUGUAGCGCAGGGCAGCGGGCAGAGCCGCCCUCUGCAGGCUGGCUUUGGUUC